GAACCUGGCGGGACCACCCGCCAAGGCUAAAUACUCUCCAGAGACCGAUAGUGGACCAGUACCGUGAGGGAAAGGUGAAAAGAACCUCGACGAGAGGAGUGAAAUAGACCCUGAAACCGCGUGCCUUCAAUCGGUCGGAGCCCCCUCCUG
rnacentral:rRNA from 1 species